AUGGCGGCAGCGCCGGGAAGCUGCAGCUGGGUAAUUAUUGCGAACAUCCAUCCUGCCUCCUGCCCGCCCGGGGGAGCAGGGGAGCCACCGCCGGGCCAGGGCAGCCGCUCGCCAGCCCCUCCUCGCGCCGGCCGCACCCCGGCCUGGCACGCCGCCGCGGGGGGGGGGGGGGGGGGGCAGGGGCUCUCCCGCCGCCCCUCGCUCGCCCCCGCCCGCGCCUGCGGCCCACCCUUGGAGCGACCGGCCAGCCCGGAACUUGUUUUUUCUAACUAUAAACACACCCCGCGUACAGCACCAGCCAGAGAGCCUCCUUUGUUCAAACAGAAUCUUUCCUUGGCCUUUUUUGGGGGCAGUGGGAGCCGACAGCGCCCGGUCUGGGUUACGGCCUCUUGCACAGGGACCGUCCCCCUAGAUGAGGAGGUGCCCCUGGGGCCCCCGCUGUGGGCUCCGCCGCCUCGGGCCCAGAAGCUCCCCCUGGCCCCGAGCCCGCUCCCCACCCCCCGACCCCCCAGCUAUAGUAUGUGCCUUCCCAGCAGGGAAAAGACACUGAAUGACAGCCAAGGGCAAAAUGCCAGGGACAGCGGCUGGGGUCUCAGGGGAUCUGUAACCCUCACUGCCUCCCGCGGUAGCCCCAGCCCAAGACUAUCCCAUGCCUCUCCGACAGUCAAGUGGUCAGCUAGCUCAUGUCGGACCGCACAUUGUGGACAGAGGGCCAGGCCACUGGCAACACGAGGGGCUGCUUCUUCAGGUACCCCCCACCUGCCAGGCACCAGCUAUGCUAUGUAAUCUAGCACUAAGCCUCACAAAGCCCUUUCAAUACAUCAUAUCUGCUUCUUUUUACAGAAGAGGCAAUGGGGCUCAGAGAGGUAGAGUGACUUGUCCAAAAUCACACAGCCAGGAAGUCUCAGAGGUUCCUGGUGGCCAAUUUCAACCAAGGAGGGACAGAGGAAGGACCCUUCAGAGGGAGGGAAAGGACCUACUUUGGAGGGGAUGUGGGGAGAAGCGAGAGCCUGCAUCAUGAGCUGUGACUCUCGAGGGACGUGACUUAUUCACCAAUCCAUUUGUUCUGUUUGUGCAUUUAUGCCAGUGUCUUUGCUGGGCAUUGAGGACUCAAGUAAACCAGGCUCAUCUGUGUUCUCACAGAACUCAUGGCCAAGCAGAAGAGAAAGGCAAAAUGAGGCAGGAAGAGGCCACCACUUGCCUGGGUGUGCUAGUAUUUACUAAGCGACUACUGUGGGCCAGGCCCAGUGAGGAGAACUGAGGGCAGCAAGUAAAUACAAAGCACAAGGCUCGUGCCCUUCGGAAGCAUAAGUUCUAGGGGUUUCUGGCCCCAAACCUCCAGAAACCCAGCCUGCACACCCCUAGAACCCUGAACACGAUGGGACAUUUCUCUAGGGGUAUACCAGAGUCAUACUUGGCCUGGUUCUGGGCUGCUCAGCAGGGAUCCAGAAAUGGCAGGAAAUCUCAAUCAGUACCUUCCCUAGGAACUAAAUCAAGGCCCCAGGCAGGCCAGAGUUGUUCAGAGGGGUCUGCAGUCAUCCAGUCUGAACAACUAGAAGGCAAACAAGGGCCACCCAUGCAGGCUGUAGCCACAAACCCCUGGGGCUGGGGACACAAUGACUCUCGCUGAAUGGACGAUACUUGCCCAAGGCCACCUGGGCCUUACUCUAUCUUUGUUCCUUUGCUCCCCACUGAAAGACAUCGAUCCUGGUUCAGAGGCAGCGUCAUGGCAUUGGGUCCCAGCCGCUGCAACAUCAGGUCCAUUUCAUAGCCUAGGAAAUGGAGAAACGGGGCAGUGGGAGGACUCGUCCAAGAUUCCACUAGCUCAUGGCAUAGGCAAAAUGUGAACUAGGGACUGCAGGCCUCUCCACCAGCUCACACGCCAGGAUGCCACCCGCAAGGAUGUACACACUGACACCCAGGCUGGCGAUGCUGGAUGUCUCCAACGGGGGCACCGCAUGAGCUGCAGGCAGAGGAUAGCUCCUUUCCUAAGCGACCCUCUUGGUUCCUGUUUUUGUGUUUGUGUUUCUAAAUGCUCGACCUUUGCUAUCACCUGGAGCUGUUAAACAGAGGCGCCCCUCUCAGUGUGAAUGGCAGAGAGCGUAUGCCAGAACUGCUCCAUUUCAGCAGCCAAAAAGUUGGAUUUAUAUUUUUAAGUGGAAUUUUAAAUGUUCAGGGUCUUUUUUUGAAGGAGAGCCAGAGCCAGAGAGAGCAUGCAGUGGGGAGGGCAGAGGGAGAAGGAGAAUCCUAAGCAGGUGCCACACACAGUGUGGAGCCUGAUGCAGGGCUUCGUCUCACGACCCUCAGAUCAUGACCUGAGCAGAAAUCAAGAGUUGGAUGCUCAACCCACUGCGCCACCCAGAUGUCCCUAAGUGGAAUUUUAUUUUUUUUUUUUUUUUUUUUUUUUUUUUUUUUUUUUUUUUUUAAAGAUUUUAUUUAUUUAUUCAUGAUAGUCACAGAGAGAGAGAGAGAGAGAGGCAGAGACACAGGCAGAGGGAGAAGCAGGCUCCAUGCACCGGGAGCCCGACGUGGGAUUCGAUCCCGGGUCUCCAGGAUCACACCCCGGGCCAAAGGCAGGCGCCAAACCGCUGCGCCACCCAGGGAUCCCCCUAAGUGGAAUUUUAAAAACUGCCAAAUCCCCUUAUUAAAAAAGAGAGAGAGAGGAGAUCCCUGGGUGGCUCAGCGGUUUAGCCCCUGCCUUUGGCCCAGGGCAUGAUCCUGGAGUCGCAGGGUCAAGUCCCACAUCAGGCUCCCUGCAUGGAGCCUGCUUCUCCCUCUGCCUAUGUCUCUGCCUCUCUCUCUCUCUCUGUCUCUCAUGGAUGAAUAAAUAAAAAAUCUUGGGUGGGGGUGACUGGGUGGCGGGCACUGAGGUGGGCACUUGAUGGGAUGAGCACUGGGUGUUAUUCUGUUUUUUGGCAAAUUGAACACCAAUAAAAAAUAAAUUUAUUAUUAUAAAUAAAUAAAUAAAUGAUCUUUUAAAAUUUUUUUAAAAAAAGAGAUAAAGCUAAAUAAAAUAGGAGAAUGGAAAAAAAGUAGGAAAAUGGCUAAGUAAAUUAUUAAGACAAUAUUACAAAGCCAUUAACUUUAAAGAAAAUUUGAAUGUUGUGAGAUAAUAUUCACCAUAUAAUGAAAGGUGAGGGGGAGCCAGUUACAGAGUAUUAUUACAACAAAAAUAUACACUUAAAUAAUAAAUAAAAUACAAUAUACACUUAUAUGCAUAUGUAUGAUUGAUAUAGAAGAAUGAAACUGAAGGGAAAUACAACAAAACAGUAGUGACAUUUAUCUUUGGGCAGCGAGAUAACAGACGACUUUCAUUUUCUCCUUUGUACCUUUCUGUAGUUUCCAAAUUUUACAAUGAGUAUGAAUUGCUUUUAUAAUUAGAUAUAAAAUAGAAAGGCGGGGUUGCCCUUGGCUCAGGCUCAUCCCCACCACCUCCACACACCCUCCACACAGAGCUGAGCCGCCUCUGUGCUCUGUCCUCACUGCCCAGCCCAGCACCAGCAGAGCUGAGGGACCCUGGCCAGGCCACUGGACGCUGAGGACAGCCAGUAUGGAGGUCGCGGGAUUCACGGGCCAUCUCUGCCCAUGGAGAAGCCAGCAAGGGGACACUGCCCUGCAAGGGUCAAUGGCAGGCUGUAAAUUUCCUGGCCAGGGACACUAGGAUUUGAUGCUCUUGGGGGCUGAGAAUCAGAACAUUCAUUAUCUGCUGUAUGAGAGCAGUCAUCUUUGUUCCUUGCAUUUCUUUCAGAGCUGCUGAGUGCAGCAGGAAAGCUGGAGGAGAGCUGACCUUUGUCACCCUCCCACGGCGGGCUUAGGCAGGCUCUCGGCUUCCCAGCAUGGGACCGGAGUGCCUGGCCCAACUGGUCUCCCUGGGCCCUUCUAACCUCCAGGCCUGGGAUUUCUUCUAACCUGAGGAGUAGGUAAAGCCCAAGGUGCAGGCCUGUGUUCACCCACCACCGGGGUUUCUGUGCUCCAGGAACCACUAGCUCCACCUCCUGCCCCACCCCAUUCUCACCCACAGGGGCUGGACUAAGGCAGUUUCCAGAGAAAGGCCUCCCUGCUCCCUGGAGCUGUGGAUUUGGGCAGGUUCCAAAAAUGGUGCCCUCACUUCCUUCCAGCUGAGAUCCUAGCCGCCCCCUCUCUGUUCUGGAAGCUUCCGCCCUCCUCCUGGGCUAUUUUAGCAAUCAGGUCACCCGUUGGCUCACUCUGAGUUUGCGGUCAAUUAAAACCCACAGGCCCUUUUCACAGAGAUGGUGAUAUCUCUUCCUCUUCCAGAUGCUGCCGAAGUCGGGGUCCUCAGGGUGAAAACACACGAGGUGAUGGCUUGGUGAUCCUCUUUAGCAGAGGGGCACUUACUCAGGAGCUGAGGCCGUGCAUUAUUUCCAUCGCCACGGUGGCCAGUGCCUUGCAAAGGUGGCUGACAGUACAAAGGGGGAGCUGGUCACAAGGACGUUCAGAUGGCCUGAAUACUAUGUGUCCCCGUGCUGUACCCUGCUGAUGCUAGACACACAGCCCUCGCUCUGGUCCUCCCAGGCUCUCGGCAGGGAGCCAAUCCCCACUGAGCAACCUCUGAAGGUCAUCGUAUGGUAAGCAGGAAGGCUGAGACGGACUCUGGGGUGCCCCAGCAAAGCCCAAAUCCACCUCAGCUGUGCUGGCACUUCCCCUGGCACGCAUGGUCGCUGACCCAGGGCUUCACAUCCCUGGUCCUACUGACACAGCAGGCUCCCAAAACCUCACACAAAGCCCAAAGCCCCUCUCUUAUAGUCCAUGUGUGUUAUGCCCGAAGCCUCUGAGGGUUCUGAUCACGUGCUUCAGCUAUAGCCUUAUUAGCAGCGUGUGGACCCCUCUGGCUGAAGACCCCUCCCGUAGCUACAGGCUGAGAAACGUGGCCUGGUUCCCAACCUUCCCUCCCCCGGGCAUCUGAUUGAGCACAGGCUCUUCCUGGCUAGCCCAGGGUCAGGUGCUAAACCAAGAGCACCGGGGGACUGCCACUCUACCUGGGGAAGAAAGGCAGCAAACAAGAGAGAGAUUGCAGCUAUGGUGGGGCACUGAGAGCAGG
rnacentral:lncRNA from 1 species